rnacentral:lncRNA from 1 species
CCUACCUGUACGUCGUCUGUCUAACGUCAGAAACCGCCGCGGAGCACGACAGCCGCGCGAAAAUACGUUCGCGGCUGUCGCGAGGAUAUUGCAUUUCGUGAUGUAUUUUUGUUACGGCGACGACGACGACGAUGUUCCGUUUUCCGCCGGAGACCUUUACGACAACCUUCGAAAUCGGCCCGCGCGUCCGGUAAGUAAACCCGUUGUGCCAUUAUCGCCCCGAUAUUAUUAACAUAUUAUGAAAACGUCGACGCUCGCGUAUUCGGCUCCCGUUUUCGCGGAUACGGACGCGCCCGGUGACUCGACGGUCUCGCGGAUUUUUCAAACCGAACGACAAAUGCGGCGCGGUAAACCGGGUUCGAGUUGUCCGUGCGCCGUAUGUAUUAGGUACGCCAAGUCGCCCGGUCCACCUGUGGCUUACCCGGGAAUUUUUUAACGAGAGGAGAGAGGAGUGGGUGGAGGGGUGUGGGGUGGUUGAACGGUGCAAACGAAAAUUGUUUAACAUUAUAAAUACAUAACAAUAAUGCGAGCGAGAUAUUUCCAAAUCUGCAGAUACGCUUUAUGCUCGUAUGGUCCUUUUUCCGAGUAAACACGAUUGUAUAGGUACGAUACCAUUAUUUGUACAUUUAUUAUUUAAUAGUUGAGUUAGACGUUAUAGGUACAUGUGCAAAUAUUAUUAUUUUAUUAACUAAAAAAUUGGUCGACGCAUUGUUUCUAUUAAAAUUAUUUUUAUUUUUUGUAACAAGGCCAAUAAGGGGAGGGGUCUAUAAAGUCUCAUUGCCCUGCCUCUGGUGUCACCACUUUCCUACGCAACUCGCUUGCACAGUUUGCGCGUAGACGUUUUCUGAGAGGAGGGGAGGGUAAUAAGAAGAGAAAAUAAUAUCUCCACCCCGUAAUAUUUUAAUCUUUGGUAUUACUAACAAAUAACAAAUAACUGAUUUCUAUACUGGGAGGAAUACAUCUGGUUAAGCCUUCUCUUUUCCGUCCCCAAUCGAUAUUGAAUUUCACCGCGGGCUACUUUUCACCCAAGAUUACGCCUAUGUACCCGUGUGUUCCUCAAUUCAUCUGUGAUGGCAUCAAAGAUGGCUUUAUCACUCACCGUGUUUCUGAAUCGGUUGGCGAAGUGUGGUGGACUAGAAUGUGUGUUUGUUAUCUCAUUUUUUUUUUUUAUGGCAAAAGCCGAUAACAGUUAUAAUAUUUAAUUAUAAUCAUUAUAGAUUCAGGUUUCAUAAUAACACUGCUUGAAACGAUGUUAUUUUAAUAUUUAAUGGUGCCAUCAGUGAUGCCGCCGCCGAUGCCAUCACAGAUGAAUUAAAGGAACACGUGGUAUACACCGACUUAACAGACUGCAGAGGUGGAGAACCACGACAGGACCACGAAUGAAAAUCAUUUAGUUAUCACAUUCAAAGGGAAGGCUCGAAAAUUAUAGUUUUAACGUGCAAUGUUUUUUUAUAUGUUUUUACAUGAACCUAUGCCGGGACCAAAAAAAAAAAAAAAAGAAGAUUUUUUACGUGUGUCGCGUUAAAAUAUUUGCAUAACUCGGUAACUACUGUUCUUUUUUUUAUUAUUAUUAUUAUUUAUAAUAGUAGGUGCCAGCAACAAUAAUCAUAUAAAAAUUGCACAACAAAGCAUAAAAACACAUUAUCACGUUUUUAAACAUUUCUAGCCAUAUGGCACAAAUUCUCGAAAUGGUCGUUUUUUUUUUUAUAUAUAUAUAUUUCUUGUUUUUUCUUGACUUUCAAACUCAAUUGCCCCGCGGACGGCCUUGGUUUUUAUUUUCAAUUACUAUAUUGCCUAGACGUACGUAUUAUAUUGUGUACAUUAUAUUGUAUAGUUAACCAUGCCCAUGCGCGUCACUAAAGUAAAAAUUCUGUUGCAGCAAAAAAAAAAAAAUUAUCUAUAAAAUAUUUGCGUCCUGUUUAUUUUUCGAAAGUGAACAAAUAAUUCGCCGCUAUUAUCGGUAAUUCUAUAAUCAACACUUUAUAUUCGAAUACAGAUAAUUGCAUGCCAUUACAGUAGUGUAAAUAAAUUAAAUUCAGAUUUUUCAACUUUAGAAUUGAAUUAAAAACUGCACAUUUCGUGUGUCGGUACUUAAGUACCGGAUCGAAAACAAUUAAUGUUAUCACAUUAUCAUAUUAUAUAUAUAUAUAUAUAUUAUUUUGUAUAAAUACCUACGUCGAUAGUAAACAAUUUUUUUGACCACGAUAAUUGUACUUCACACUGUACAUUAAUCACAACUUCCAACUAUAAAACCGGAAAAUUUUCGUUAAGACGCGUACCUAUACAAUAAAUAUCGAUUAUAAUAAUUAAUACAUUUUCAAAAUUCAAGUAUUUUUUUUAUGGCGUCGUUUCGUCACCCCAAACAAAUUUAUGGGGUAACAAAAGUACCUCUCGACACCCCUUUGUGACGCCUAUGCAGUUUACGGUUAUUAGGAACCGCAUAGCCGCUGCAACUCCCUGCCACUAUAUAACAAUACCCGUCACAAGACUUAUUAUGUACUUACUGCACUCAGCAGUAUUCCGGUACGGUAUUGCGAUUACGACUCCUAUAUAGGCUUUAUAUCCCAAUCCCGAAUCGAUACGAAAGUAAUUCCGGUGAAAUGGCCAAAACGCGAUAAAAAAUAAAUAAAUAAUAAUAAUAAAAAAAAACAUUCGUGAAAAUCCUCUAUAUACAAAACAAAAAAAAACCCAAUGUCAAUGCAUUUAUCGAGUUGGAAACUACUACAAAACGCCAUUAAAAUGGUUUUUUUGUUCACGUACAUUUCGAAAGCCUCUUUUUGUCUAUUCUUAUUAUAAGAAAAAAAACAAUGACAUAAUUAUAAUAUUAAUUUAUAUUUUUAUUAUAAAAAUGCAAAUAUUUACUGGAUCGUUUUAAUUAAAUUUUUUAUUUGUAUACUUCAUUGGGGCGCUGUAAAUUUUCUUAAAAAAUACGCGUAUUUUUGUUUAUUACACCCUGCCCAUCCGAAUAAGAAGAAUAUAACUUUAAUAGCGUCGCAUAUAGUCUUUUUUUCACAAAACAUUAUUAGUUUGAAAAGUUUGUUUUGUAGAAAAAAAACACGAAUAUUUUAAACGCUCUCUCUCUCUCUGUUAAAUAUAAUAUUUCGAUAUUUUACAAAAAAGACAAUUUGCCGAUCUCCAGAAUAACCUCUUGCAUUUGUUGUUAUUGAUUUUUUCACGGUCGGCAAAAUUGUUACCUAGGCGCCUAUAUAUCUAGGUGCCGAAUUUUCCGAUAAAUUUAACAGAAAAAAUUAUCGAUUUUAAUGACGAAAUAUAUAGACAUUCCGCUUCAAGCAACAGCUGUGACAUAGUCGCACGACUAUAUUUUGAUGUUAUUACAGUUUACUUGUAAUUUAGUAUUAUGGUAACACGAACGCGUUGUGUCCGAUUUACACUUUACACAGCAAGACACGGCACGACACGACAAAAUAUCCAAUCAAAGAAUGUUUUGUCGGUCUGUCGGUGUCUGUCGGAAUCGAUUUAAUUAAAAUAUACAUAUUUUAAAUUCUGAGCGGAACGAGGAAUGUAUUGGUUUUACAAUGAUGGGUUUUAUUUUUUUUUUCAGUUGACAAUUUUACUGCCAACAAUUUUUUUCCGAUUUACAAUGACGACACUUUUUCUGAAAGUAAAUCCGACUUUUUCCAGCAGUUUUUAUAAUAAGUAGGAAAAACCAUGAGAAAAUCGUAAAAAUCGUACAAAAAACGAGAAAAUAGGUACAAUUUUAAACAAAUAUUAUUAAAGAAAAUGUACAACGCAUAUGUAACUAUUGUAUCAUAAUAUGACAUAUACAUUGUUUAGAAAGCAACGCUAAUAAUCAAACUCUGCUCAGAAUCGUUUUUCGUUAGCAACGAUUAAUUUUUGCGUACGGAUAUACAUUGAAAUUCCCCUCUAAAUUCGCAACUUCUCGUCUACAAUAGUGCCCCCCCCACCCGUCGUGCAGAGUAUGUCCGUAGUUUUAUAAUACAAAUCUAUAAAAAUAAAUCCGAAAAAAGUCUUAAUUACGAAAUUAUAAAUGUGUAGGUACUCAUUUUUUUUGAACCGAUAAGGAAAAACAAUUUUGUUUCCGGUGUCGGAAAAAUCGUUAAAACACAAAAAUCCGACCGGUCGAACCUAACCGACCGAAACAAAACAUGCGCGUAUGUUGUAAUCGAACAAAUAUCGGUUUGAAAUAGCGUGGGUUUAGUGCGUGCCUCUGUGGUCGCCGGUCGGUCAUGAUAAUAAUAUUAUGUGAACUGCACGACAUUUUUGUCCGUGCCGUGUCGUACAAGUGUCAAUCGGACUUUACUCGCGUGUAUCGGUUAGGCGCAACAAACAAAAUUACUCGUAAUUUAAUAUUAUGGAAACGUGCGUUAUGCUGCAGCAGCUAUCUAUCACUCUGUGGCCGCGGUACGCUCGAAUAUAUUAUUAUACUGUUCACAUCGAGAUAAUGAUAAUAACUUUGCGAUUGAAUAAAAACGGCAGUGUAGAAUUUUGCGUUUGAUCUAUACGCGUAUAGGUACCGCGUAUAUAAUAUUACAAUGUACCAGUACUCGACGCGUACGAGUAUGAUGUAAACAAAAGCGAUCGCGUCGAAUUUUAAUUAAAAAAAAAAAAAAAAAAACCGCGUUCUCUUUCUUGUGUUUAUAAACUGCACGAAAACACCGUGAUACGUGUAACGCGCCCGAAAAUCGAUGUCUGUCUCAGAUACACUCAAUAUAACGUAGACAAACGUAAACACAUUGUUCACUAUUCCACGCGGAUUUCGACGACCCGAUAUCGUUGUUAUGAUUUAUUUUCACAUCGGAACGUCGAAAUUCGCAAUAAGCACAAUCAAAAUAACGCAAUACCAGUUUAAAUACGAUCACGUUUAAAACAUCCGAAGUUAUGCGAACGGAUCGGUUGAUUCGUUUAUUUGACGGACAAACGCACGACUCCGGUAAUACAUCAGUAGAAUAUUAUGGCUUACAGAAAAAAAAAAAAAAAAACCCAGUAAAAUUAAUAAUAUUGUAAAGUAUUUUAUCAACUGUUCUGAAUCAAGUACUGAACCGCUGUUUUCAUCUAAAAUUGGCCGUGCACAUUCUUAACACUCUCAAAUGUCUGAAAUUGAUUGUACCAGGUGUUAGAUAUUACUGAAUGUAAACGUUUCUUUGUUAGAUUAUCAAAGGAUUAAGCAUUUGUUUCAUCAUUACCUUUGUCGCGUACAGCUUAAACAAUUAAAUAUACGAUUAAAAUAUAUUUAUUAUGUGUUUGUUUAUUAUGUUGAUUAAAUUGCCUAUAGACUUAAUACAAAUGUCCAAUUUUUAAAAAUAGGUAUAAAAUGCACGUAUCGUAAAACAUUCCCUGAACGAAUUUGUUCGGUAAAAAUAAAUAGUUGGACCAUAUAUAUACCUGUAUACUGGUCAUAACGAAAGUAUAGGUCAUUAAAAAAAAAGUCCAAAUUUCAGGAAUAGGUUUUUCUUAAUUUUUAACGACUAUGAUUUUCAAUGAUAGAUAGUUAGAUAGCGAACUAGUUAGUUAGAUAGUUCGAUAUAUCAGGCGUUAGUUUAGAAAACGCUAAUAUUUGAACGAUCGGUGGUUCAAACCCCGUCGGAGUGCAAAGAAUCGUUUUUCAUUUUUUAAGGAAUAUUCUAAGGAUAAAAAAAAACGGACGUCUGGACAUUCUAUGGGUAUCCUAAGUACGGGUACAGCCCAUUCGUGCCUUUGCAGAGUAGCCGAAAUGCGCCCCGGGGGAUGUGGAUAAAUGUGCCCAAACGAUAAGGGUACCUGUCGAUUUAUAGCCCAUAUGCGUCCAUUUCGUGUGCAACGUUACCGUCAUUAUUCGCAUAUAUAAAUAUAUAUUUUUCUAAUUCUGAGCGUAGCAAGAAAUGCAUCUAUUGGUUUUGCAAUUAUGUAUUACGCGAUACAAUAUUAUUAUGUGAGGUUUAUACGAAAAGUAAAAAAAAUAAACCAAAUCUUAUGAAAUAAAGUAUAGGUACAUGUAGAUUAAUCACCUAGAUAAAUAGAUUGCAAUACUUUAAUAAUAUUCGUCCUAACGCUAUGGUUUACGUGUAUGUAGGCACAUACAAGUUUUGUAUGUUAAUCAUUUAUUUUUUUGCUUUACAUAAAAAAAAAAAAAAAGUGUUAAUAUAACAAUAACUUCGUGUGAUUCUAGUUUCGUGUAAAUGAAAUGUUGCGAAACGCGUGCACAGGGUGAACUAUCCGUGAAUGAUAUUCGAUAAUAUACCGGUCACGAAACGCAAUUAAAAUAUAAUGGAAUGGUAUUCGAUAAUAUCGAUAAGGGUGCAACGUAAAAACCGACUAAAAACCGUUGAAAUUGGUAUCGCACUGUAUUCCAGCACAGAGAUCGGCAACGUUGCACGGUUUUAAAGCCAAGUUUUGUAUGUUAAUCAUUUAUUUUUUUGCUUUACAUAAAAAAAAAAAAAAAAAAAAAGGUGUCGUGGGCACAAGUGGGUUUCUCCGGUACGUACGUCUCACGGCCGUGAUUCUGUUGUGCGAGAUUAUGAUUGUGUGAUACAUAAUAACUGUUUACGGAUGUUGAAACAAUGUUUUGCGAAAGACGCCACCGCUACGGAAAUAUCAUCACAAAGAUGGUAAACAUACAUAGGUGGACGGAACGCAAUUUUCGAUGGUCCAUCAUUACGAAUAUGCGAGUUGACAACUUUUCAAAAACCUCUUCAAUUGUUACUCAGUGUUUGCGCGAAACGUUUGCCGUAUGGGUGUAAUAAUAUAAUAUUAAACCAUAGACAAUAAUAAAAACUAAAGUAAAGCGUCAAGUUUGAAAAGCGAAAUUUCCAAUUGGAUUGUUUCGUAUAAUAAAAACAAGAAAUUAUUGUCCACAGAUGAGAAACAUAAUAGUAGUAUAUAUAUUGCGUUUUAUGUGACAGAAUUGUGACUUUUGUUAAACAAAAACUUUAGACUAUCCAUUUCUAAAUUCCAAAACAAGUUAAUUUUUUAAUUUUAUACUGAUAUUACGUACUUUAUUUCAAAAAUAUUCGAAUAUUUGUAUACAGUUAUUAGAAAUAUAAAUCACUCUUACAAAUAAAUUUAUAUUUUAAAUGACUGUUUUCCUUUAACACCACACGUCUACCUGUAAUAGUACGCAAUGUACGCGUACAAGUAUAAAACAGAAAAAGAUUUUUAUAGACGUGUAGUGUUGUGGAGGAAAACAGACAUUUAAAAUAUAAAUUUAUUUGUUAGAGUGAUUUAUUUUUUAAUACAAUAGUCAAAACUAAUUUGUUGGGCCGUUUUUGAGAGUCUUUGUACUUGGUAGUGCAAAAUAAUCCUUAUUUUGGAUCAUUAUACAUCAGAUAGGGUAACUUGUGGUACUGGAGGAAAACAGGCAAUUUUAAGAUGAAUAAAUAAUAACAGAUCGGGUUUUUUAUUUGAUUAAAACUAAUUUGACUAUGUAAAAUUUGACUGAUACAAUGGUCUAAACUAUUUUGUUGUACCAUUUCAAUAUUGUUUCAUGCAAUGUGGUGCCAUUUUCCCAGCACCACAUUUUCUUUUAUUCACAGAGCUUUUAAUUUUGUCCAACAUUCUCCAACAAACAUCCACAAAUUUCCAUCAAACCCAUGUAAAUAUUGUUGGAUGAAUUUUUCAAACUUUAAAGCCCAAUAUGGUGUUACUUGAUACCGAAAAUUUCAAAUUUGAAUCACUUUUUAAAUUUUCUUCAAUAAAUUCCAACAACUAUCCAACUACAAUAUCCAACAACUCAGAGUAGAAAUUGUAAGAAUAUUUUUUUAUUUUUUUGUGAACUUCCAGCAUCACGUACCUGCGCGGCAUUCUUUCUUUUAAUUCUUUUAAUAUCUAACAAUUUUAAAUAAUAACUCUUUUUUACUCGUCUGCAGUAAACCGUUCAUCAGUGCAGUAUAUAUUUAUAUCUAUACAUUGUAUUGUAGAAGGUUUUUAAUAAUACAACUUCUUCGUGAAUCCGACGUUUUUCUCGGUUAAUUUUUUAUAAUAAGUACGUUCGUUUUAUCUUUCUUUUUUUCUUUUUAUAAAGUAAUUUUCAUUUUGUACAUAGCAGUCUGAAGAAAUUGCACUUUUUAUAAUAUUAUUUUUACAGCAAUAACAAAACAUAAUUUAAAUAAGUAAUUAUUUAAAAUAUUUAUGCAUAGGUAUAUGUUUUUUUUUAUUAGAAAUUUCAAAAUGAGUAGGUAUAUAAUCUCGGUCAAUUGUCUUAUGUAAUAUAUUAAAAGGUGAGCUGUAGCAAUCGGAAAUAAACAAAUAUUAAUGAUUUCUUAUUUUUUUUACACGUCUUUUGAAAAUGUCAAAUCUCAGUUUUUCUUUCUCUCUUUAGUUUCAAAUUCCGAGAAAAAAUGCGUAGGUAUAUAAUCAUGUUUUUUUUUUUUUUUUUUUAUGAAAAUAAUUUAUAAAAGUAUAGAGGCACGACAAAGAAAUAUUAUUAUUACGCUAUACACAACUUGCUGUAAUGCAGUGAACACAAUAUUGUUAAACAUUAAAUUGUUAUAUGCGUGUAACAAACGAGAUUCAGUAUUUGAUUCUAUUAUAUACACAUCGGCAUUGUCGACAAAUCGAAAUAAAAAAACCUGAAAAAUAAUUUGCAUCAGCUGAUGUGAUUAUAGUAAAUACUAAAUAUACUGUAUGAUUAUAAUUUUGUUUGACAUAUGAAAAUAAGAACAUAUAUUGUAAUAUGCAAAAUACGAAUUUACUGAUUCAAAAAAAGUACUAUUCUUGGGAAUUGGAUUGUUGAUAAAAAAAAAGUAGUUCACAGAUAAAAAAAAAUAUUGCUGAUGGGUGUGCAUUGCUGUAGGUAGGAAGUUGUGAAGGUCGGAUGCAUACAUUUAUUUAAUUUGUAUCUGAAUACAACGAUAAAUCAUAGCUAAUGAAAGACAAUUCUGAACGAAGUUGGGUUACACGUGUUUUAAAAUGUCAUAAUUUUUAAAAUAUUCGACAAAAUUUGAACUUAAAACUCAUUUUAAAAAAACUACCAUAUUACGCUCAACUUUUUUUUUUUACAACCAAGUAAAACUUAUAAUGAACCACGUGUUAAAUCAAAACAAUUUUAAUCCAAAAUCCUUUUAAAUAAUAACUCAAAAAACGCCAAAUGUUUUGAAAAAUUCUAUCACACCUUAUAAACGCUAAUAUAAUAGUGAUAAUAAUAGUAAUAGUAUAUUUUAGAUCUUUAUGGUUGUUUUUAACCGAAUAACUAAAUAGAAAAAAAAAAUUAAAAUAAUUAAACUAUUAAUGCCGUUUAUUAUUUUUCACAAUUACUAAGAAAACUGCAAAGAUAAUAAAAAAAAUAUACCUCCCCAAUGCACCAACUAGAUACAAUUUACUACGAAAAAUCUGUCUGGUAAUUUUAAGUUUGAACAAAAGGAAAGUAGUGGAGCAUAAUUUGUGUUGGUGCGGAGCGCGUGGAGGGUAAAUGAUACUCCAUUGCUCUUCUACUGAACUUAAGAGCAAAAUAUUUCGUUCAAAGGUUGUCGAAAAUUAAUAAUGUCCAUACCAAUUUGGUAUGUAAACUAAAACUUCAUGUAUUUUUGUAAUUUUUAAUAUAAGUUGCUACCUGAAAAUCGAAUUCGGGUAGUAAUGUCAUGAACGAAUAUAAGGGUAAAAAAAUAACAAUAAUCCAACGCGACUUGUUUCUUAAAUGAUCUAAAUAUAAAUUCUGAAAAACGUUAUCCGAAAUAUUGAGCGUUUUAUAUGUUGAUCACCCUGUAUAGAAAAUGUUCAAAUCCUGCAGUUACGUUAUGUAUGGUAUAUACAUGUUAUCGCAUAAGGAAAUUUCGACUCAAAAUAAGAUUUCAUUGGAUUAUUUUUUUUUAUUUCUUUUUCUAACAGUUUUUUUUUUUUUGCACAUACUAGAAUAUAACAUAUAAUAUAUAUAUAUAUAUAUAUAUUUAUAUAUAAGGUUUCGUAAAAUAAGAUAGAAUCAGAGACAUGCAUUAUAAUAAUACUGCAGACGAACAUUCGGAAAAUAAAGUGGGCACGCGUGCCGUGAUCGGCAAAUUCUUCAAUACACGCACAUCAAGUUUGAGCGAAAAUAAAAAAAAACAAAACCCAGGAUUACUAUAAUAAAAAAAUCAAGUCGAAUCGUGUAUGUAACCGUAGUUUCUAUAGUAUGUAAAAUGUAGAUAAAUACAAAAAUAUUGAAAACCUUGAUAACCAGAUAUCUCUAGUUUCUUUGAGAAUUCAUUUUUUAAAUAACAAAAUUCUUUAUAUAUUUUGGUGUUAUAAUCAGAUAUACCAAAAAAAAUUAUUACGUGACAGUCAGAUAAAUAUGAAAAAUUCAAAAACAUUGAAUAGAUAAAGUACAAGGACAUAAUAAGAAAAAAUAAAAGCCUUCAAAACUUGGUGCUGGCGUAGGUUAUUCAGUUAUUUAUAAUCUCUUGAAUAGAAAAGGUAACAAAUGAAGAGGCAAACGAUAGAUAUCACAUCUAUAUAAAGAAAUCGAAUAUCACAAAUAAAACAAGGAAUUUAAUAAAACUUCACAAAAUAAUAAAAGGGAAAAUCGAAAGAAAACCAGGAAUAGGAAAGCCAAGGCAGUCAUUUAUACAAUAAAUUAUGUUGGAUACAGGAAAGGAAUCCUGCAAAAAGUUGAAGUAUGGAUAGAGAAGAGUUAAAGAGCAUAAAAUUAUUCUACCAAUCUGCGGAAUGAAAGAGAAAAAAAUUCACUCUCACGGCCCCACAAUAGUAACUAUCAACUAGCAUGUUCGUACGUAUAACAGUGCGUGCUUAAUUGCUUUCAGGAUAAUCCGAUAGUUACUAUCGCUCUGUCAGCUGCCAAUUGUCGAAUUUGCCGCAAUGGAAAUUUAAUUUUUAUGACCUAAAAUUUGAAUAGGUAUUUUAUACUAUUAUCUGAGUUUUGGGUGUUAAGUUUGAACGCAAACAAUUACGAAAGAAUGUAAUUUUAUUUAUUUAAUGUUUAAUUUUGUUUAAUGAUUGCACUUAAUCUUUGUUGUUUUAUUAAAUGCAUUAUAUAAUAAUACGUACGCUCGUGCAUACGUUUAAUAAUAUAUUGUUAUUAUUAUUAUUAUUAUUGUUGUUGUUGCUAUUGUUAAAUAACAAGCAUUUAAUAUCGACAAUGUUCCGGUAUUAGUAGUCUUUCCCGUCAAAACAUGUCGGGCCUAAUCGGGCGAAAAAAAAUGUCAGUCCACAAUGCCGCAAUGGCGGCCGAGGUCAUAACGUCCGAGAGAGUGCGUAAUAAACUACAGUAACAAUUAUAGCCUAAUAUUAAUAGGUGCGCGCGGCACGUGGAGGACAUUACUGUACCGCGACAGUUCGCGUAUCAUUAUCGUAAUAUUUUUCUUUUUCUUUUAUCGUAUUAUUAUUACAUUGCGUUGCGCGGACGUGACAUUGUCGAGACCGAUUACCAUACAUACUUGUAUACACCGUGUCCCACGGAGGAGAUUUGAAAACUGCAAUAACUUUUGUGUUCCGUUCGACAUUUUUAAGUUUUUUUUGUAAUAAUUAAACUACUAUAGAUGUGCUAUGAUUCUUGUGUUUUAUAAAAUCCAAAUAGUUAAAGUAGUUUUAUAAAUAUAAUUCGAAACUAUACCAAUGUUUGCUAACAAUGAGUAGUUUAUUUUCUACAAUUUUUUGAAGUUGAUGAUAAUUUUAAUAGUAUUUUCGUGUCCACUAAGUACUAAAUAAUAGUAUCAAUUAAUUUACCGAUUUUUUCAUGAAAAAUAAUGUUUGUAAACUUCAAACAAUUUAAGAAAAUGAACAACUCAAAAUUUGUAGCACUGAAAUUUUUUAAGAGAAUUUUGUCUAAAAAUGUAUAAACUGUUUAGUUUUAGCAAAAAUAUUAAAAAGAAUAAACAAAGCUCUGUUAAUUAUUAUAUAAAGGAAAACAAUAAAUAAAAUGUCCACGGGUCCUCACAUUAUUCUCUUUCUAAAUCCAUAAUACUAAUUUCGCCAAAACCUCACCCCUCUAAGAGCGUUGCCCUUAUUAUGUAAUCAUCACCCCGACUUUGAUUUCUUCCAUGGUCCCAUAAUUAACAUUAAUAAAUCUUCCACUGAAUUAUUAAUUUCCAUACACGCCAUCCUUAUCGCGGGGAUUAAAGAGCGAAGGUGGGAGUCCCCCUAUUUAUUUGAGGUAAAAUGAUCAGUGCCCAUUCGCUUUAGUGUUCGCAAUCCGGGGCGACGAUUUAAUUUUUGUCACAGAAAAUUGUUUAAUGAAAUUUUAAAAACUCGAAUUAGUUUUUAAUUAAUUCCUUAAUAACUAUUUGAACAUAAAUCUUCGUGGGACACCCUGUACGUGUACUCGUAUUAUACGAGUAUGUGUAUGCUAUGAUAUCAUCACCCCGGAAUCGAACACUUUGUUCGCUGCACGGAAAUUAUGCCGGCUCCGGUAUUUAUAAUAUAACACACACGUAAUAAUAUUAUUAUUAUUGCUGUACGAUAGUAGCGAUUAAAAGGAUAUUAAUAAUGUUAGUUCGAGUGUACAUUUUCGACGAGUGUUUUCUGACAACCUCUCGAGAUAUACCGCUCGCAUAUAGUGUAAUAACCAGGUAAGUACAUACAUCACGCGGUCGUCAGUGAAAACCACGUAUUUAUAUAAAGAGUAAUCGCCCCCCACCACCCUUCAUAAGACGCUUUAGCCAUUAUUGUAUGGUUCGGGACUUAUUGCGCUUAAUUCAAAAAAAAAAAAAAAAAAUGCUUAAAAAUGUUAAUAAAAAAAGCUCUGAAAAUGGUAUUUGAAAAAUAAUUAAAAACAAAAACAGUAGAAGGGUUUAAAGGUCCCCUAACUGUUUAACAGCUCUAAAUUAUUAAAUACAAUUUUCUAACGCUAAACAAAUUAUUGAAUCAGUUGUUUUUUUUUAAAAAACAUAAUUACUUUUGUUAAACAUUUGUGUCGUAUCAGAAAAAAUGUGUUUGAUAAGUCAAAAUCGUUAGGUACUGGACCAUAAAACCUCUACCAUUUUUUUUGAAAUGAUUUUUUUAACAUUUUAAGCGCUUUUUUGUGAACUUUAAGUGGAAUAUGAUCCGAGCCCUUUAGUCAUUAGUAAAGGGCCGACUUUGAUGCAUUUAUAAAAAAUUAAGAUACUAUACCUAUGCAAAAUAAAAUUUUGAAAUACGUGUUCAAACAUCAAAAUAUGCACUAAAAUACUAAAAUAUCAACUAUUAAUUAUUUAAAUAUAUAUAUAUAUAUAUAUAUAUUGGUAGCAGAUAAAUAUAUGCAUUAACAGCGCAAAAUAUAAAACAAAUUAUGCUCAUUUGACUUUUAACAUUGAAGGAAAAAUUAGACACUGGUCUUUUCAGCAUUUUUCCUAUAUUUUAUUGGAACAUCUUGGUUUAAGACACACGCAGAUUUGUCGAUUUUUUUUUAAACGACAGUCCGGCAUCUAUAGGUAUAUCCAUAGAUAGAUAUAUCGAAGAGGUUAUUUCAGUAGAAAUAAUUAAUUGUUUCGACGUCGACGGGUUUUUUUUUUUUUUUUUUUUAAUUUCAUUUAACUAAUCUGUAAACGGCAAAAUCAUUUAUUAAAAAACUGUAUAUUUUGUUGAUCAUAUUAUAUACGUAUGCGGUUAUUGUCGUUUAAAGAUCGAAAUUCCUAGGACUUUAGUACAUUGUAUUUAUAGUUUAACAUCGAUAAAAAAAGAAAAACGAUGGAAAUUACAGGAAUAUAUUUUAUGCGAUUAUUGUAUUCGAUUUCGAUGGUGAUUAACUUCUCGAACGACUACAGAGAAAAUAUUCAAAAAGUUAUUGUACUUUCCGAAAUAGCUGCUAUAGAGUGUCUUGCGGACAAAAAAAAUCACCCUGUAUAAUAAACCGUGUUGAUAUUUACCUGUAUGUGACGUGUGUAUAAAUACUUAAACAACUGUGCAUAAUUAUUUUCGAAUAUAUAUUUGUCAAGUGUUUUUUUUUUUUUUUUCGGCUCGUAAUAAUAAUCGGUUUGAUAUCGAACGGUUGGUAGUCCAAUACCACACGUAUACCGAUAUUUUGAACGUUAUCUUUCCGCUAGUGUCUGCAUGUUGUAAUAUUGAAGGAAUGCAUGUAAAACGACCGCGUACUUAAUUAUUUUUGAAAAACCGUUGUGGACGGGGGGGGGAGGGAGGGAGGGAGGGAGGAGUGGCAAAAUACACGAAUACUACACGCGUUAUACCUAUACACCGUUACGGUAAAUAUGAAACUCAUAUUAAUAUAAUAUUAUGUCGGUAGGGUACUUGAGCGAAUAAUACUGAAAACCGAUGGAGUGGUCUUCGUCUCGCGGCCAAAGACGUGGAAUUCGAGUAAUUGCACGGGAACGGGAAGUGGCGUAUAGCAAUAAGAUUCUAUUAGUUCUCGUCUGGCGCACGGGUAAGAUGAAAUUAUUAAUAUCGGUUAAUUGGGCCGAUAAUAUUAAUAUUCGCGUGUACAAAUAUUACAAGGGCCGACGUCCUAUAUAAUAUAAUAGCAGUCUGCGACGAUUAGUCGGCAGAAGAAGCGGUCCUAGAAGUACUCUCGCGAAUAGGAAUAAUAAUUGACACUAAAACGUACCGUCUGUAUUAUAGCUACAAUUCCGAGAAAUUUCGGUUGAACACGCUCGACCGUAACACUGGAAGUUGAAGUGGCGGCAAAGGAUCCCGGGAGAUAAUACCGUAAGUACUCCAUUAAUGCGCAUGUUGU